GUGUUAACUAAUGUUAUGCCUUAUAUCUCAAGAAUCAGUGAGAUAUAUUUUCACAUUCUAAUUUUUAUUUAUUUUGCCCAAUGCAGUAUGUUGUGUACUGCUUUUAAUUCACUAAAGUUGUAUGACAGCGAGUUCCCGCCUUCGAAUUUUUUCACAACGUCAAUCAACCUUGCUAUGCAAAACAGAGCAACAUGUCUUACUGCUGAUUGGCUGUGAGUCCACCAGAGCGCGACGUGAUUGGAGGGAGCGCCUGUCGCGUGACGGCUCCUACCAUCAGGUUUCGUGGCGCAGAGGAUUGAGGCUCAUUCUCUCACACUCACUCACAGCAGCGAGAGCUCGGAGGAUGGAGGCGGCUGAAGCGAUGGUUGGAGAAGGGAGGAGAGACUGUGGUACGGGAACAAUAGGUCAUAUCUGA
rnacentral:lncRNA from 1 species